rnacentral:rRNA from 1 species
CCUACGGGCGGCUGCAGUGGGGAAUUUUGCGCAAUGGGCGAAAGCCUGACGCAGCAACGCCGCGUGGGUGAUGAAGGUCUUCGGAUCGUAAAACCCUGUCGUCAGGGACGAAGGUUGCAUGUCGAAUAGAUGUGCAGCUUGACGGUACCUGGAGAGGAAGCCCCGGCUAACUCUGUGCCAGCAGCCGCGGUAAUACAGAGGGGGCAAGCGUUAUUCGGAAUGCUUGGGGGUAAUGAGCGCAUAGGCGGGGGUAAUCGCCGAGCUUAACUUGGGAACUGCAUCUCAGACUGUGUCGCUAGAGUACUGGAGAGGGUGGUAGAAUUCCACGUGUAGCGGUGAAAUGCGUAGAGAUGUGGAGGAAUACCAGUGGCGAAGGCGGCCACCUGGACAGUAACUGACGCUGAGGCGCGAAAGUGUGGGGAGCAAACAGGAUUAGAUACCCUAGUAGUC